CACGUAGGGCGCAAGCGUUGUCCGGAAUUAUUGGGCGUAAAGAGCUCGUAGGCGGUCUGUUGCGUCUGCUGUGAAAACCCGGGGCUUAACCCCUGGCUUGCAGUGGAUACGGACAGACUAGGGGUAGGUAGGGGAGAAUGGAAUUCCCGGUGUAGCGGUGAAAUGCGCAGAUAUCGGGAGGAACACCGGUGGCGAAGGCGGUUCUCUGGGCAUGUCCUGACGCUGAGGAGCGAAAGUGUGGGGAGCGAACAGG
rnacentral:rRNA from 1 species